CCAGGAGUAAUUGAUAAACAAUAUAGAACCACUACUUUAUUAUUAUUUGAUAAAUUGAAAAUAAUAGUACAAUCACGCACUUUGUUUAUUUGUUUGAUCUUUUAUUUGGUUCACCAUUAUUUUACUUAGUAGAAGGUGAAUACAUAUACCCCACGAAGAAAAAGGUGAACGAUGUGUGUGACUGCUCAGUCACAUACUCCUAUCGGUGCUUACAUGGUGGGUGAUAGACACAAGUACAUUCGUUUGAAAAUUUAUUACAUGUUCCUAUGGCCGGUGAUCUACCAACAAAACUUGCGCACUUUUUAGAACAAUCAUCUGGUUCUGCAGGUGGAAGACAAUAAAUGUUGCCUACUUCUGUAGCGCAAUAUUUGUUUGCUUGUGCUAUUACUUGCAAUUGGUCAUUUCCUACAAAUAUUCGGACAUAAAAUAUACUAUUAGCCAAGAAACUAGAAUCAUCAUAAGAUAAUUAUUGAAAACAAUACCUACUGAAUUGUAUGGAUUUGAUGCAUACCAAAAUCACUGGAAAGAACAAAUAAGAGGAUGGAGAAAUAAAAAAAGAUUUUCAUGAUGUUUAAUUUGGUUUGAAAAUUUUUUUUUGUGCUUUUAAUGGUUAUGCUUUAUAAAAAAUUGGU
rnacentral:lncRNA from 1 species